rnacentral:rRNA from 1 species
GCGUGAUCUAUCCCUGGAGGAAGCUCGGGCUAAGUUCGUGCCAGCAGCCGCGGUAAGACGAACCGAGCGAACGUUGUUCGGAAUCACUGGGCUUAAAGGGCGCGUAGGCGGGCUGCCGCGUCCGGGGUGAAAGCCUCCCGCUCAACGGGAGAACGGCCUCGGAUACGGGCGGCCUCGAGGGGGGUAGGGGCGUGCGGAACUGUGGGUGGAGCGGUGAAAUGCGUUGAUAUCCACAGGAACUCCGGUGGCGAAGGCGGCACGCUGGACCCUCACUGACGCUGAGGCGCGAAAGCCAGGGGAGCGAACGGGAUUAGAUACCCCGGUAGUCCUGGCCGUAAACGAU